CCGAGACUUAUUAAAACUUUAUGACGAAAGUUCUAGGUAAAAAAAAAAAAAAAGAGGAGAGAUAAAAGGGCCAUGUUAGAUGGGGGCGAAGGUUGGUGUUUAAGAUUGACAACCACACUUUCCUUGGUAACAGACAGGUGCACAUUGGGAUGAGCAACUUGCAUCACUUGGUUUUGUUGCUGAUUCAGAGUGGGCGUAACAAGUGCAAUCUCCACCGUCGAUAUUUAUGCCGCUGCAUUUAUAUGAAGUGCACUCCUCUUUGCUCUUACACUCAUUUCCUUCAAAUUCAUAAGUGAACAAAUUAUCUAAAAAAAACGUUCUUUUAUUUAAAUAUUAAUUGCGUAUUAUUUCACCAAUGUCAAAUUUUUUUUGAAGCUCAAAUUAAAGAUGAAUUAUACGUUAGACUGUAUAUGUACGAUUCUACUCUGUUUUAAAUUUGAUAAAAUAAUUGAACAUAAAUAGUUGCAUUCGACGUUGGAAAUAUUUACUGAAAUUACCAUAAGCACCGAGCUCCGAUUCUUGCGUACGUGUUGCAGCUGUUGCUGAUGACAUUUCUCCUGUAAUCAUCCAAAAUAUAUAUAUAAAAAAAGUAUAUAAUUACUCACCAAAAAAUAAAAACAAAACGAGUUGGAAGAAUAUUGAAUAUAUAAUUCCAAGAUUAGAAUGAAUUAAUUAACCUGUACUUUUUAGAUAUGCAUAUUGUUCUAUUGGCUUGGCAAAAUAGUUCUCAUCGUAUUAAGGCCUUUCUAAAAUUGUAAAACUAUAAACUAUUUAUCAAAUUAAUGAUACAAGUACUCUUUAAAUUAAAUCUGAUUCUGUAAUUUAAUUAAAUCUAAAAACCAGUCACAAAAUUAUUACUGGGAUAGAAAAUAAAGCUAGCUCAUGAUACACUAAAGAAAGAGAUGCUAACCAACGACAAUUAGCAAAAAGAUGAACAUGAAAAUCGAUUUUUGAGAAGCCAUGUUGAAUAUUUGAUUAUUGUUUGCAAAGAGAUUAUGUAUAU
rnacentral:lncRNA from 1 species